rnacentral:lncRNA from 1 species
CAGAUGGCCGAUCCCACACGGUGAGUGUUGAUUUAGUCAAAGAUGUGAAAACAAACCAGGUGUCCCCCUCUCCUCUUUCUCUCUCCUCUUCCUGUCUCCUCUGCAGCUUCUCCAAACCUUCUUUCCUGUGGUGAGGAAUCUAAAUGAGUGGUUUCAGGGGUGGUGCGAAAGUCUCUGUAAACGGUGAGGGACACUCAAAGUUUCCAUUGAAGACACCUCUCAACCAUCUGCUCUUCUAUUCAGCACGGUCUUCGGCCCCGGGCCUGGCACCGAAGGUCAGAGAGUGUGUGUGUCAGUGGACAAUGACCCAGCCGGACAAACCCCCACACACACUUCAAACGCAGAGACCUUACACCGCGACCAGUCCAUCGGUAUCUUUCAAGACGGGUGUUAGGUGCAUGGAGAGGUGAGGGAGGAGGAUGGAAUGUGUGUGCCUUUCUAUAAGAGCCUUGUCGGCUCACAUCCACAUAUCUAUCCGUCAUUUUUUCAAACUCAAGAGGAUCGGUUCCUUUAAAAGUAGCACAGAUGAGCGUCUGAUCAAUACAAACAGUCCAGAAGUGUUAACGUCUGCUCGUCUCCCAGGAGUAAUACUGGCCUUUACUCUCAUUGAUUUCUAAAGGAAUGAUCAUUAUGGGUGGCUGGGCUGUAAAACACUUAAGGUUUUUUUCCUCUCUUUGUGUGUUUCCUUCAUGGCUCAGUAGCGGAUCAAUCUAGCGUCGCCAAAGAUAAAGCUUUGAGGGACGAAAGCUUUUGUCAUGCUGUAUUUCAUUCAUUUCAUUUCACUUUGCAUCCGUGUCCCAUACUAUUAAAAAUAUAUAUUUAAGGAAUAAAGGAAAGUUGUUCUUAGUAGUUAACCUGUGAUGUGUAUUUAAUAUGUAGGUACUAACAAUUAUGGCCAACUACAAAAAUGGACUUGCCUGUUUUCCUAAAGCAAAUGUAUUUUGGGUGUGUAAUACACAGUAGGCCUACUGUUUUCUAUUUUUCUACUUUUUCUAUGUAUUUAUGAUUUGAGUUUUUUUGGAUGAAUUAUGUGAUUUAUGAUUUACUUCAUAUCAUUUAAUAUACUUGACUUAAUCGAUGUAUUUAAUUGUGGAAGCGUCUCUAAGCUCUGCUCUGAUUGGUCCAACUUGAUUGACUCUACUGAGAUCACAUGUGUCAUGUGUCAGUGAUUAUAUAUUGCUCGUUCUACUUUGUGAUUUGAAUGCCUGACCAAGAUCUCUGUCAGAAUCAAAAUGUCCCAAUGUUAAAAUAGCUGGGAGCUUUUAACUCAGUGUGCAGAUCUUUUGUUUGAUUCUUACCUCAUUUUAGAC